rnacentral:rRNA from 1 species
UACGAAGGGGGCUAGCGUUGCUCGGAAUUACUGGGCGUAAAGCGCACGUAGGCGGCUUCUUAAGUCGGGGGUGAAAUCCUGGAGCUCAACUCCAGAAUUGCCUUCGAUACUGGCUUUCUAGAGGCUGGAAGAGGUUAGUGGAAUUCCCAGUGUAGAGGUGAAAUUCGUAGAUAUUGGGAAGAACACCAGUGGCGAAGGCGGCUAACUGGUCCAGAUCUGACGCUGAGGUGCGAAAGCGUGGGGAGCAAACAGG